ACUCCUACGGGAGGCAGCAGUGGGGAAUAUUGCACAAUGGGCGGAAGCCUGAUGCAGCGACGCCGCGUGAGGGAUGACGGCCUUCGGGUUGUAAACCUCUUUCAGCAGGGACGAAGCGUAAGUGACGGUACCNGCAGAAGAAGCACCGGCAACUAUGUAGCCAGCAGCCGCGGUAAUACGUAGGGUGCGAGCGUUGUCCGGAAUUACUGGGCGUAAAGAGCUCGUAGGCGGUUUGUCACGUCGUCUGUGAAAUCCUAGGGCUUAACCCUGGACGUGCAGGCGAUACGGGCUGACUUGAGUACUACAGGGGAGACUGGAAUUUCUGGUGUAGCGGUGGAAUGCAACAGAUAUCAGGAAGAACACCGAUGGCGAAGGCAGGUCUCUGGGUAGUAACUGACGCUGAGGAGCGAAAGCAUGGGUAGCGAACAGGAUUAGAUACCCUGGUAGGCGUAGU
rnacentral:rRNA from 1 species